CACCUCUAAGGGUUGGACCUGGAGAGUUUCCAGUACUCGACCAGUCUCGACUAUGGGAGUGAAAGUCAAGCAGAGACAUACCCAUUCCAUUCCUAGCUUGAGCAGUGGCUAGUGAGUGGAAGGCAGCCUGCUACAAAA